rnacentral:rRNA from 1 species
AGCGAACGCUGGCGGCAGGCCUAACACAUGCAAGUCGAGCGGCAGCGGGAAAGUAGCUUGCUACUUUUGCCGGCGAGCGGCGGACGGGUGAGUAAUGCCUGGGGAUCUGCCCAGUCGAGGGGGAUAACUACUGGAAACGGUAGCUAAUACCGCAUACGCCCUACGGGGGAAAGCAGGGGACCUUCGGGCCUUGCGCGAUUGGAUGCACCCAGGUGGGAUUAGCUAGUUGGUGAGGUAAUGGCUCACCAAGGCGACGAUCCCUAGCUGGUCUGAGAGGAUGAUCAGCCACACUGGAACUGAGACACGGUCCAGACUCCUACGGGAGGCAGCAGUGGGGAAUAUUGCACAAUGGGGGAAACCCUGAUGCAGCCAUGCCGCGUGUGUGAAGAAGGCCUUCGGGUUGUAAAGCACUUUCAGCGAGGAGGAAAGGUUGGUAGCUAAUAACUGCCAGCUGUGACGUUACUCGCAGAAGAAGCACCGGCUAACUCCGUGCCAGCAGCCGCAGUAAUAC